ensembl:Y_RNA Y_RNA Y RNA
GGCUGGUUCGAAGGUAGUGAGUUAUCUCAUUCGAUUGUUCACAGUUACAGAUCGAACUCCUUGUUCUAUUCUUGCCCCCCUUCUCACUACUGCAUUUGACUAGUCUAAG